rnacentral:misc_RNA from 1 species
GUGAAGUGCACUGACGUAAUAUAAUCAACAAUUCAGAUCGAGACAAACACGCACGUGGAAAGAUAAAGGUAACACUUUUCGUAACUCGAUGAAAGAAGGCAAUGUACAUAAAGUAAUACUAAUGCAGACAGAGAUGCCAUCAGGUGGGUCCAUAAAAAGCCAGUUGCAUAGACCCGAAUUAUCGGAUCGGGUCUGAAUAGAGACAACAUAUCCAGGUCCAACUUUCGCGGCCCAGUCUGAAAUUAGAUGAGGUGUAAUACCAAACUUUCAGAGCGGCUAUGCCAGCAAAGACCGUCGUCAUGGUAUCCAACAUCGAGGUACCAUUGCCGCCCACGUUUCUCAGCCAGAAGUAACGGAACAAACUCCCCUUUCAUGUGCAAAACUACUAACUAGUUGCCACCAAACCCAGCCCAUCAACUAUGUGCACGUGGCCUAUCCUUACUCGACCAACUCAACCACCAUUUCUAUGAUUUUCCGUCCCUGAAUAAUCUUCCUUUCAACAAACUUUCAAUUCUUUCUUUCCUUUCCUUCUUUCCUUUCAAUCCAAAUCCCUUCCCUCUCCCCUCUCCCAAACGGAAUCAUGGGGACUGAUAUAUCAGAGCCGUUGCUUCUGCCCGAUUCUAGCAAAAUCCAGGCCGUUGACGCCGAGCGGAUCCCAGAGUGGAAGGAUCAGAUCACGAUUAGAGGCCUUGUAGUUAGCGCCCUGUUGGGUACGCUCUUCUGCAUCAUUACCCACAAGCUCAAUCUCACCGUUGGCAUUAUCCCCUCGUUGAAUGUCGCUGCUGGUUUGCUCGGCUUCUUCUUUGUCAAGUCAUGGGUUGGAUUCUUAUCCAGUUUGGGUUUCACAAUUUCUCCCUUUACCAAACAGGAGAACACUGUUAUCCAGACCUGCGUCGUCGCUUGCUAUGGCCUCGCUUUCAGCGGAGGGUUUGGGUCGUAUUUGAUCGCAAUGGACGAGAGAACUUAUGAAUUGAUAGGUCCUGAUUACCCUGGUAACAGGGCAGAGGAUGUCAAGAACCCAGGAUUGGCCUGGAUGAUUGGAUUCUUGUUUGUUGUCAGCUUCCUUGGACUUUUUAGUCUUGUUCCCCUUCGCAAGGUUAUGGUCAUGGAUUAUAAGCUUACAUAUCCCAGUGGGACAGCUACAGCAAUGUUGAUAAAUAGCUUUCACACAAACACGGGAGCUGAGCUUGCAGGGAAACAAGUCACUUGUCUUGGAAAGCACUUGAGCAUAAGUUUGGCUUGGAGCUGCUUUAAGUGGUUCUUUAGCGGUAUUGGGGAUUCAUGUGGAUUUGACAAUUUCCCAAGUUUUGGUUUAACACUAUUCAAAAACACGUUUUAUUUUGACUUCAGUCCAACUUAUGUUGGAUGUGGUCUUAUUUGCCCUCACAUAGUCAACUGCUCAGUUCUUCUGGGGGCUAUAGUCUCGUGGGGCUUUCUGUGGCCCUUCAUCUCCCAACAUGCUGGGGACUGGUAUCCAGCUGACCUGGGUAGUAAUGAUUUUAAGGGUCUUUACGGAUACAAGGUCUUUAUAGCCAUUUCUCUUAUCCUUGGGGAUGGCCUUUACAAUUUGAUCAAGAUAAUUGCAAUAACUAUUAGGGAAAUAUGCAAUAAAAGCACCAAGGAGAAUCACCUUCCUAUCGUCAGGGAGUUUCAAGAUGGUGAGACUUCCGAAUUGCUAGUGGAACAGAGAAAGCGAGAUGAGGUAUUUCUGAAUGACAGAAUACCCUCCUGGUUUGCAGCUUCUGGAUAUGUGUGCCUGGCUGCAAUAUCAACAGCAACAAUUCCAAUCAUUUUUCCACCCCUCAAGUGGUAUUUGGUUCUCAGUUCAUACGUUAUUGCCCCUGCCCUUGCCUUCUGUAAUUCCUAUGGCACUGGGCUAACAGACUGGAGCUUGGCGUCAACCUAUGGAAAAAUUGGUCUUUUCAUCAUUGCUUCAAUGGUUGGGAGUAAUGGAGGAGUUGUAGCUGGAUUAGCAGCUUGUGGGGUGAUGAUGUCAAUUGUCUCCACUGCAGCUGAUCUCAUGCAGGAUUUCAAGACUGGUUACCUCACUCUAUCAUCAGCCAAAUCUAUGUUUGUGAGCCAGUUGAUAGGCACAGCCAUGGGUUGUGUUAUAGCCCCAUUGACAUUUUGGAUGUUUUGGACUGCUUUUGAUAUUGGAGCACCAGAUGGUCCAUACAAAGCUCCAUAUGCAGUAAUAUUCAGGGAGAUGGCCAUAUUAGGUAUUGAGGGCUUCUCUGAGCUGCCCAAACAUUGCCUGGCCAUGUGUUGUGGUUUCUUUAUAGCCGCUUUGGUUAUAAAUCUUCUGAGAGAUGUAACUCCUAAGAAGAUCUCACAAUUUAUUCCUAUUCCAAUGGCUAUGGCUGUCCCGUUUUAUAUCGGAGCUUACUUUGCAAUUGAUAUGUUUGUCGGGACAGUGAUAUUAUACAUCUGGGAGAGAAUAAAUCGGAAGGAUGCAGAAGAUUAUGCUGGGGCAGUUGCAUCAGGUUUGAUAUGCGGCGAUGGGAUCUGGACAAUACCAUCAGCAAUCCUCUCUAUUUUCAGGAUCAAUCCCCCCAUAUGCAUGUACUUUGGGCCUUCUUUGAGUAACUGAGUAGGGUAGCUGAUGGAUGUGUUGUAAUAUAUGUAAUACGUUAUUUGAACUGCAGUGUUCAUUGGAUUCUGUAAAUGUGUGUGGUGUUUGAUUAUUUAGAAGUUUCAAGCACAGAUUUGAAAAAUGGAAAACAAUUUGAAAAGUGGAAA